UGCGUAGGCGGAAUAAUAAGUCAGUGGUAAAAUCCUGUGGCUCAACCACAGAACUGCCAUUGAUACUGUUAUUCUUGAAUAUAGUUGAGGUAGGCGGAAUGUGUAAUGUAGCGGUGAAAUGCUUAGAUAUUACACAGAACACCGAUUGCGAAGGCAGCUUGCUAAACUAUUAUUGACGCUGAGGCACGAAAGCGUGGGGAGCGAACAGGAUUAGAUACCCUGGUAGUCC
rnacentral:rRNA from 1 species